rnacentral:tRNA from 1 species
AUUCUACUAGUAUUCAAGUAUAAUUAACUUCCAAUUAAUAGGACUGGUAAUAUCCACCAGGUAGAAUA